rnacentral:rRNA from 1 species
GAUGAACGCUGGCGGCGUGCCUAAUACAUGCAAGUCGAGCGAAUGGAUGAGAGCUUGCUCUCAGAAGUUAGCGGCGGACGGGUGAGUAACACGUGGGUAACCUGCCCUUAAGACUGGGAUAACAUCGAGAAAUCGGUGCUAAUACCGGAUAAUUUAUUUGACCGCAUGGUCGAAUAAUGAAAGGUGGCGUAAGCUACCACUUAUGGAUGGACCCGCGGCGUAUUAGCUGGUUGGUGAGGUAAUGGCUCACCAAGGCAUCGAUACGUAGCCGACCGGGGAGGGUGAUCGGCAACACUGGGACUGAGACACGGACCAGACUCCGACGGGAGGCAGCAGUAGGGAAUCUUCCGCAAUGGACGAAAGUCUGACGGAGCAACGCCGCGUGAGUGAUGAAGGCUUUCGGGUCGUAAAACUCUGUUGUUAGGGAAGAACAAGUACCGUUCGAAUAGGGCGGUACCUUGACGGUACCUAACCAGAAAGCCACGGCUAACUACGUGCCAGCAGCCGCCGUAA